rnacentral:sRNA from 1 species
GAAUAGCAGAGCACAGUCCGAUUCAUCUCAGUAUUCCCUCGGCCAGCAGAGCACUUAAUAAACAUCAGUGGAUCUGAACUUGAAUCAAAUGGCAGGUAGCAGCUUGCAGACGCCUGAAAAACCUGGGCACUGAGGCAUGCCUGUGGUCCUGUCGCAAGAGGUGGAGUCCGUUCUUGUGGGUGCUGCUAUUCUGGGUGCCUGUGCCUCAGGGGAUUUCGCUUCUGUACAGGAAGCAAUGGCAAAAAUGAGCAAAGUUGGGAAAGUUGUGUUCCCGAGACUACAGGAUAAAAAAUACUAUGAUAAGAAAUACCAAGUAUUCCUGAAGCUGGUUGA